UGUAGCAGGUAAAAUUUUUUUAUUUAAUUUUUUCUAUUACUAAAAAAAAAUAUCAUUUUAUUUUUAUUAUUAAUGGAAUGAAUUUUUCUACUUGUUUAUGACAGGGAGAAUAUUGGAAGCAAAUUUUCCUCAUCUAUACUGGACUCCAUGUGCAGCCCAUUGUAUAGAUUUGAUGUUGGAGGAUAUCUUUAAGAUCCAUGUUUUCAAAGAAACAUUCCGCAAAGCUGUUGAGCUUAUUGGUUUCAUAUAUGGCUCUUCAGGAGUUCUAGAUAUGUUGCGAAAGUUUACUAAUGGAGUAGAAUUGCUAAGGCCAGGACAAACUAGAUUUGCUACUGCUUUUAUUACACUGGGAAGGAUUCAUCUUCAGAAAGCCAACAUUAGAAAAAUCUUUACUUCGGAAAGUUGGACAACUAGUAAAUGGGCUAAAGAGGUGAAAGGCAGAAAGUGUGAAAGGACGGUUUUGAGUCCUGCCUACUGGAAUCAUGUUGUUUAUGCUCUUAAGGUUUCCGGUCCUCUUGUUCGUGUGCUUCGACUUGUUGAUAAUGAAAAAAAACCAACUAUGGGAUAUAUUUAUGAAGCCAUGGAUAGGGCUAAAGAAGCCAUUGCCAACUCACUCAAUGGCAAUGAAGAGAAAUACAAGAGCAUUUUUGAGAUUAUUGAUGCAAGAUGGUCACUUCAAUUGCAUCGUCCUUUGCAUGCUGCUGGAUACUUUUUGAAUACUGAAUUUUUUAUCCAAAUAAGAUGAGAAUUGAAUCUGAUGAAGAGGUCAAUACAGGAUUGCUUUCGUGCAUUCAUAAAAUGGAAAAAAAAUUCAGCAAAAGUUGACAUGAUUCUUGAUGAAAUUGAGAGAUACAAGGCAGCUGCAGGGACCUUUGGUUUUCCUUCUGCUAUUAGAGGAAGAACAACCAAAUCUCCAGCUGCUUGAUGGAAAACAUAUGGUUCUUCAACUCCAAACCUACAAAAGUUUGCUGUAAAGGUUCUGAGUCUCACAUGUAGUGCAAGUGGUUGCGAAAGAAAUUGGAGUGUAUUUGAGCAUUAAGAAAAGAAAUCGGCUAUUUCAAGAACGCUUGGACAAUUUGGUAUAUGUGAAGUACAAUAGAGCGUUGCUACGCC